GACUGUUCCAAGCAGAGAGAACAGCAGGUGGAACACCAGAGAACAUGUAAAGAACCAUCAAAGCAUUUGUCUUUUAAUGGCAGUGAUAGCUGAUCCCUCCUGAGUGAUUAAGAUGUGAAUUGUCAAUCACUGAAACCAUCCUGUACUGAGUUAAAAACCACAAAGGUCACCAGAAGAGAGAUUCCUGAGAUGGAUUUGAAUUCUGGCAAAACCAACGUUAGGCCAGCCAAGGAGCAUAUUGGAGAAAGAGAUUGGUAUUUAAUAAGCAUCGCGGGGACAGUUGGCUAACAGGCCAGGGGAGAGUUAAUUUAAAUUCAUACAGCAUACCUGUCAAGUUCAGCUAUAUCGUACUGCUAAUCUGUGACAAACCUGGAGACAAGGAACUGGCAUUGUUACCCCUGCUGCUGAUAAGGAGAUAAAUUCCUGGCUAUUGAAGAAAAAGAUACCAUCAGGGCUCUGAUAGAUGGGUUCA
rnacentral:lncRNA from 10 species